rnacentral:rRNA from 1 species
CGGCUAACUACGUGCCAGCAGCCGCGGUAAUACGUAGGUGGCAAGCGUUAUCCGGAAUUAUUGGGCGUAAAGCGCGCGUAGGCGGUUUUUUAAGUCUGAUGUGAAAGCCCACCGGCUCAACCGUGGAGGGUCAUUGGAAACUGGAAAACUUGAGUGCAGAAGAGGAAAGUGGAAUUCCAUGUGUAGCGGUGAAAUGCGCAGAGAUAUGGAGGAACACCAGUGGCGAAGGCGACUUUCUGGUCUGUAACUGACGCUGAUGUGCGAAAGCGUGGGGAUCAAACAGGAUUAGAUACCCUGGUAGUCCACGCCGUAAACGAUGAGUGCUAAGUGUUAGGGGGUUUCCGCCCCUUAGUGCUGCAGCUAACGCAUUAAGCACUCCGCCUGGGGAGUACGACCGCAAGGUUGAAACUCAAAGGAAUUGACGGGGACCCGCACAAGCGGUGGAGCAUGUGGUUUAAUUUGAAGCAACGCGAAGAACCUUACCAAAUCUUGACAUCCUCUGACCCCUCUAGAGAUAGAGUUUUCCCCUUCGGGGGACAGAGUGACAGGUGGUGCAUGGUUGUCGUCAGCUCGUGUCGUGAGAUGUUGGGUUAAGUCCCGCAACGAGCGCAACCCUUAAGCUUAGUUGCCAUCAUUAAGUUGGGCACUCUAAGUUGACUGCCGGUGACAAACCGGAGGAAGGUGGGGAUGACGUCAAAUCAUCAUGCCCCUUAUGAUUUGGGCUACACACGUGCUACAAUGGACAAUACAAAGGGUAGCGAAACCGCGAGGUCAAGCAAAUCCCAUAAAGUUGUUCUCAGUUCGGAUUGUAGUCUGCAACUCGACUAUAUGAAGCUGGAAUCGCUAGUAAUCGUAGAUCAGCAUGCUACG